UGGGGAAUAUUGCACAAUGGGCGCAAGCCUGAUGCAGCCAUGCCGCGUGUGUGAAGAAGGCCUUCGGGUUGUAAAGCACUUUCAGCGAGGAGGAAGGGUAGUGUGUUAAUAGCACAUUGCAUUGACGUUACUCGCAGAAGAAGCACCGGCUAACUCCGUGCCAGCAGCCGCGGUAAUACGGAGGGUGCAAGCGUUAAUCGGAAUUACUGGGCGUAAAGCGCACGCAGGCGGUUUGUUAAGUCAGAUGUGAAAUCCCCGCGCUUAACGUGGGAACUGCAUUUGAAACUGGCAAGCUAGAGUCUUGUAGAGGGGGGUAGAAUCCCAGGUGUAGCGGUGAAAUGCGUAGAGAUCUGGAGGAAUACCGGUGGCGAAGGCGGCCCCCCUGGACAAAGACUGACGCUCAGGUGCG
rnacentral:rRNA from 1 species